GACGAACGCUGGCGGCGUGCUUAACACAUGCAAGUCGAGCGGUAAGGCCCUUCGGGGUACACGAGCGGCGAACGGGUGAGUAACACGUGGGUGACCUGCCCUUAGCUCUGGGAUAAGCCUGGGAAACCGGGUCUAAUACCGGAUAGGACUCCAUGAUGCAUGUUGUGGGGUGGAAAGCCUUGUGCGGCUAGGGAUGGGCCCGCGGCCUAUCAGCUUGUUGGUGGGGUGAUGGCCUACCAAGGCGACGACGGGUAGCCGGCCUGAGAGGGCGACCGGCCACACUGGGACUGAGACACGGCCCAGACUCCUACGGGAGGCAGCAGUGGGGAAUCUUGCGCAAUGGGCGAAAGCCUGACGCCGCGACGCCGCGUGAGGGAUGACGGCCUUCGGGUUGUAAACCUCUUUCAGCUCCGACGAAGCCGUGAGGUGACGGUAGGGGCAGAAGAAGCACCGGCCAACUACGUGCCAGCCGCCGCCGUAAAAC
rnacentral:rRNA from 1 species